rnacentral:misc_RNA from 1 species
AAGGAGUCUAACAUAUAUGCGAGUAUUAGGGUGGUAAACCCUUGUGCGUAAUGAAAGUGAAACAUGGUGGGAUAUUUGCACCAUCGACCGGUCUGGAUUUCUUUGAAAGAUCUGAGUAAGAGCAUAUAUGCUGGGACCCGAAAGAUGGUGAACUAUGCCUGAAUAGGGUGAAGCCAGAGGAAACUCUGGUGGAGGCUCGUAGCGAUUCUGACGCGCAAAUCGAUCGUCGGAGCUGGGUAUAGGGGCGAAAGACUAAUCGAACCAUCUAGUAGCUGGUUCCUGC